UCUGCCUUCGUAUUCUAUCAGGCCAUGAGCGUGGAAGAGCCAGACCCCAAGGCUUUGAGAAUGGAGGAAGAGAACCAGUGAAAACAACGGACCUUGAAAACAUGCAGCAAGCGAUCAAUACAAAUUUGUAUUAAAUAAAAUUAUUUGAAUUAUUAA